GCCUAGCUGGGUUUUCUGUGCUGGCAAGCGAGGUCUAACAUGGAAUAUCCAGAAAUCACACUGCAGUUCCACCAUUCUUGAUGUCCUCCCAGCCUGUCAACCAUUGCUGCAGUUACGGACACCUGGAAAAAUUGAGGCUUGUGCUCACCAUCCGAGCAUCUCUGGAAAAUGAGAAGAAAUAAAAUGGCAACCGUGUUGGGAUGCCCCACACCAAGAUGUAGGCAUCAAUGGUGAUUGCUCAUCUGGCAACACGUGAAGAGAUACCCCGUAAGUGGAUGGUAGUCUUAUUUCCAGGGAGGGUUUUAUUUUUAUUAGUCUUUUUGUAGGAAGGAAACAAAAACCAUACCUUCACAUUUUCUAAAAAUAAGCCUUUCCACUCCUUAAGUAGCAUUGUUAUUUAUAGGUCUGCCAUUUUUCUGUUAUUUAGUGAAUGUUUCAAUUAACAUUUACGUUAUAAAAAUAUUCAUGUAGCAAUUACAACUUUUCAGAAACCAAUGAACUGCAAGUAUAGCUACUUCCUAUUUAUAAACCACUUUUGUAAUAUCUUUAGGAGCUGCUCAUCUUUUGUAAAAGAUUUGAGUCAUAAAAAAUGCAAAGCACAGUAAGUACUGAUGUGGUGCUUUUCAUUCCAAGCGCUUUAUGGUGAUAACUUAUUCAGGCCACCUCUGUAAAGGUCACAUUGAUGACAGUACCCACUAGACCAGAACAGUAUUGCAUCCCUGGGGGGGUCCAGGUCUCUAGGGCAUGCUUGACUGAACCAGCACAUUAACACCUGGGUAUUUUUCACACAAAAUUCUUGAAUCUUUUCUUGCCACAUGUAAUAAUACCUAAAUGCCAACAAGAGUAAUAUCUUAAUCCUACCCUAAAGACUUAGAUCAAGUAUGUCAUAGAUUCUUCUUAAUAUCCAUCUGGGUAUAUUAUAUAUGAAUGCUUUUUUUUUUUUUAAAGAAAAUUGUUUGUUGAGUCUUUUGAGAUGUUUUAUUUUCUUUCUGGUUCCACGAAGAUUAUUUUAUUCUAGCGCAGCUCGCCUUGGUAAUCAGACACCGGCUUCACUUUUUGGAGAGAGGAUCUAUCUAAGUUCUGUUUCGUCAAGGAUGUGCCUAGGAAUGACCAUUUUUGAUCUUAUCAUUGACAUGAGAAUUAAAAGCCCUCUGCAUCAAUCGCCCACACAUCCAUCAGACCGGUGAAAAAUACCUCCAGAAAAUUUGAACCAGAAUCUUGAACUCUAAAGAGUUAAUGUAACAUUUAUUAAAGAAGCAUGAAUAUGUUUCAAACAAGUCACUUGUCAGAGUUUGGUUCGCUGGGGGGAUUUCGGCAAAAUUGUUUAGCCUUGCCUUUGAAGCUGUCACUUUAUGCGUGGGAUGAGGAGAAUUUUAAAGGCAAAUGGCAGGGCAUGGAUCUGCGAUCUGGAGGGGUUUUGUAAGUCUCUACUUGCCAGUUUAUCAGUGACAAUGACGUAUCUUACCAAUUCAUGGUAAAGACAAACCUGAUGAGGUAAUGCACCCUCUUAAUUAAUGAGCCUCUAAUGAAUAAAGCAUUGGCAAUGGCAGGUUGGUGGAAAAAU
rnacentral:lncRNA from 12 species